AACCCAUGGUAGGGGCACCUUCUCAAUAAAUCGUUGUAUCUCUCCCAUGCACCAUAAAGGGUUUCUAAAUCCAUCUACACAAAAGAAGAGAUAUCAUUCCUCAACUU
rfam:Gossypium hirsutum cultivar TM-1 chromosome 11, whole genome shotgun sequence